UCAUCUGAUAAAGUCAUGCCGAUUAUAAGAUACAAAGUUUUCUCUGCUAUCAAAGUCUUUCUGUUUGAACCCGUCGAACUGGAACUUAUCAAUUAUUGGUAAUAUUAAUUAUUUAGAAAGCAAAAGUUCCUGGAAUGGAAUAUUUUUUAAUCAACAGCAUUGUCCUUUAUUAGUUAUAAAUAAAGUUGAAUUCUUUGAUUCGCUGUUUUACGCCAUGCCCGCUAACAAAUUGAAAACUGUACCUAUACGCCUUAUUUUUAGUCACAGAUUUU
rnacentral:lncRNA from 1 species